UUGAGAGAAAAACAUAAAAUUUAGUCAUUCUAGGCUGCAUAAUUUUGAUUUAGGACCUUGAAUAUUUAGGAAAAAUUGCUGAGAGUCAGUAAGCUUAAAAAAUAUAAGCACGAAGUUUACAAUUUCAUAGCUUUUGUAUCAAGUUGUAAACUUCAUACGGAAGUCUUUUUAAUUUCACAAUUUUCAAAAUUUCCUGCCACAAAAAAUUGCCCCCUAGAACAGUCGCUACAUUUCAGCUUUUUUUUUUUUUUUACAUGUAACCAACCUCAUCGAAUUCCGUUGCUGGCUUCAGAGAAAAACUAUUUCUCUUUUCCCAUGUAUUCAGAUAGGAGCUCCAGAGAUAAAACUGCCUCCAAGUCAGGUGGAAAAGGAAAGUAUCAGCAACGUUCUCACACCUACACUGUCCUUAUUGGUAUGUAGUGUGACUAAAUUCUGCUUCUGCAUUAGUUGUGUUGAUAGCAUGCUUGUUCCAAAUUCUUAUUUGUUCCUUUUGCAAAUUUUCAUUUUGUUCACAAAACUUUCCAAAAGGGGAACGUAUGCAAUAAAAUAAAGCACUAAUUUACUUUCAUGCAGAAGAUUCAUAACUCUUACAAAUUGAUGUGGUUUCUACCUGGUGAUCUUCACUGCACUAAAGAGUUAUGAGCUAGGUACUAGGGUAUCCCAGCAACAUCAUGAGCAAGCAACACCAUCUUCUCUCAU
rnacentral:lncRNA from 1 species